CGCCGCUGCUUCAGCCGCGCGGAAUAUUUGCGUCCUUUAUCCUCUCUAAACCUUCUAGCGAAUAACAACUGAAUUGAAUGGGAAUGCGCGGUGAUGGAUACGCGCCAAGAAUACAUGCGAUAACAACGAUGCGAGUAAAAACUGAUGCCUUCUGCCACGAACAAGAUCGCGCUGUUUAUUGACGGUGCAAACCUUUACGCAACAGCGAAGACCCUUGGUUUCGACAUAGAUUAUAAGCGGCUGCUCCUUGAAUUUCAGAGUCGUGGCACUCUCGUUCGGGC
rnacentral:misc_RNA from 1 species